GAUGAACGCUGGCGGCGUGCUUAACACAUGCAAGUCGAACGAUGAACCUCACUUGUGGGGGGAUUAGUGGCGAACGGGUGAGUAACACGUGAGUAACCUGCCCUUGACUCUGGGAUAAGCCUGGGAAACUGGGUCUAAUACCGGAUAUGACUCCUCAUCGCAUGGUGGGGGGUGGAAAGCUUUUUGUGGUUUUGGAUGGACUCGCGGCCUAUCAGCUUGUUGGUGAGGUAAUGGCUCACCAAGGCGACGACGGGUAGCCGGCCUGAGAGGGUGACCGGCCACACUGGGACUGAGACACGGCCCAGACUCCUACGGGAGGCAGCAGUGGGGAAUAUUGCACAAUGGGCGAAAGCCUGAUGCAGCGACGCCGCGUGAGGGAUGACGGCCUUCGGGUUGUAAACCUCUUUCAGUAGGGAAGAAGCGAAAGUGAC
rnacentral:rRNA from 1 species